rnacentral:ncRNA from 19 species
UGCUCAUCAAGAGAGGUGGAGGGACUGGCCCGAUGAAACCCGGCAACCUCACGUAAGGUGCCAAGUCCUGCGGGAAGAAUAUUCCUGACAGAUGAGGU